UACACCUGGUUUUGUGAAAACGUGAACUUUGGGCAGUUAGUUGUAGUUACAGUUAGGUCAGUUUGUCAGUCCUAAUGCUGAUGUAGGGUCAGGAUCGUUUUUGUAAGGGUUACGGUAACGGUGCAUUUUCAGCUACUGACACCUUAACAUUCGGAAAGCCGAUAACCCUCAAGGUCGUACCAAAAGAUUCACUGGCAACUCCUCCAUUUCUGACCAUCUUGUCCCCUUUGAAGGGUGAUGGACAGGAUAUUUGUCUGGCCGCCGGGUUCUUUCCUGAAGAUAAGACUAUGACUUUGACUGUGGGAGUUAAUAAACCUGUGAGUCUUACCACCAGCGAAGCACCCUUGUUUAAAUCGACCAAAACCUAUUAUUAUGCUGGAUUCAAUGGUGAAAAAAUGCAAAAAUGCGAAAUGGAUGGACAAACAGCAAACAAAACUCUUGGCACUCCUGACACUCCUGACACGACAGAAAAACCCCAAAAACUGACUCCACAGUCUUGUCAAACAAGUCUUAGUACUGAUGCCUCAGAGUUCAUAAACACUGGUGAUCCAAAAAUGAACUCCAUGAAUCUUCUUGUGACAGGUCUGAGAAUUCUGCUUGCUAAAUGUGUCGCAGUUAAUGCAUUGAUGACUGUGAAGGCAUUCAUAUUUUAAAAGUUCAAUUCAGCCAAAUCAUCUGAAUAAUCAAAAAUUGUAACUAUAACUUGAUCAAAUAUCCAUGGCAAACAAACAAAUGCGAUUAUAGUCAGCCACAGGGUCACUAUUUAUAUAUUCUCUCUAAUAAUGUUACAUGGAAUGAAAAAUACAAAUUGUUAGUAAUGUAUUUCAAAUAUACAGAAUAUCGAUAAAACUUUUAUUGCAAACUUUUAGAAACAUUUCUGAAUUCAGUGGUAUAAUGUGCAAAUUGCUUUGCUAUGGUGUAUGUAUUUUCAGCUUUAGUUGCAGACAAG